rnacentral:lncRNA from 1 species
UAGUCUUUUAAAUUUUAUUGCUCAAAAUUAAACAUGCAAUAUCAAUUGUGACAUAGAAUCAAUAAUUUAAGUUUUAAGUAAAUACAUCUGCAUUAAAUAGAUUGAUAUUUUCUUGAGUACAAUGUCAAUUGUUUUGUACACAUUGGAUUACCUACAUAAUUUUUUUCAAUAAUAUUUCAAAAUUGACAGAUUCCAGUGAUUUACUUGAAAUAAGACUAUCAAUUUAAUACAAUGUGAUUAUAGUCUUCAUUGUUUAUGGUAUUGAAUCUAUUGAAUGUUAGAAAAACGAAAUUAUGCAAUCAAUGUAAAAUUUUCCAUUUUUUGUAGUUUUAAUUCGAAAAUAAACACUAUUGACUGUUACAAUAUACAAAAAAUUGCUUCAUGUUUUGACUGUUACAAUAUUCAAAAAGACACUGUUGUGCUUUGCAGGAGAAUUAAAUUGACAUCUGACAAAUCACUUUAGUAAUAGAAUAUUUUAUGGGUGUUUUCAUAAUUCUUGAAGUUGGAGUAGUUGUUUUAGACAC